rnacentral:hammerhead_ribozyme from 1 species
AUCCAGUUGACGAGUCCCGAAUAGGACGAAACGCGCGUCAAACUAGAU